UAUUGCUUGUAUUAUUUGCAUAGGCUGCUUUGUUGCUGCUUUUGUUUGUGAUGAUCAGAUUAACCUACAGGGUCCAAGAUAAACUACGCGGUCACUCCCUGCACUUGGAACUGUACUUCCCUCUACGGCGGGGUUCGGCAACCUGCGGCUCCGGAGCCACAUGCGGCUCUUUAGCCCCUCCCCAGUGGCUCCCUUUGGCUUUGACAAAAAAAUUAUAUGGAAAUGAAUAACGGUUAUUUUUAACAUUUUAAUUUUCAUGUAUCAUUGUUGUAGACCUAAACUAAAGUAAUUCUUACAUUCUCCAAUUGUAAAAAAUGUGUAGCCUAUAGGCCCUACACCGAAUAAAAAAAAAUGUUUUAAACAUUUUUGUCUUAAACAGUCAAAUAAAAUGUGCGUCAUAACCCUAUGUCUAUGGCCCGGCGCCUAAAUCUAAAUUUAUCAAAAAUUAAAUCUAAUACCGAACCUCAACAGCGGUGGCUAGUCUUGAGUUUCCCUUGCUAGGCUAGCUAUGGAUUCCAAAUCCAAAAAAAGAAAAGUCUCAGACGAAAAUAGAGAAUUUAAUAGUGCGUGGACAGAUUUGUUUGCUUUCACCGCCAACGCUGCUGGCUUACCGAGAGUAAGAGAGCAAUUUCGGAACUGCAGCGGAAAGCAGAGCAGAGCAAAUGUACUUUUAAAAAUUGGAUCAAAUCUCCAAACUCCACUACUGCUGCUAUUUUUGUGGCAGCUCAGGAGAUAGUAAGGCGUGGGAAGCCAUUCACAGACGGUGAAUACAUGAAAGAAUCGUUCAUUAAAAUAUCAGCAUCUAUUCUCAGACUUCAAAAACAAAACUGUGAUAGUUCAGAAAAUUAAAGAUAUGCCCCUCUCCGCAAAGACCGUCAAAGACAGGGCCAUAAAAAUGGCAACAAACAUCACCAAUCAGCAAACGAGGACAUCAAUUCAGCUCCAGCAUACUCAAUUUCCUGCGAUGAGUCAAGUGAUGUGAACAAUAUUGAGCAGACAGCGCUGCUAUGCAGGUAUGUGAACUCUGAUGGGCCACAGAAAGAAAUCAUUGAGUUGAUACCGCUGAAAGGCCAAACACGGGGGGAGGACAUUUGUGAGGCUGUUGUGAACUGUUUAAAAGCCAAAGAAAUAAACACCAGCCACAUGGUGCCAGUGGCUACAGAUGGGGCACCUAGUAUGAGAGGGACACAGAAGGGGUUUGUGACUUUAUUACAGAAGUCGUUGGAUCGAAAGCUGCUUACGUUUCACUGCAUCUUGCACCAAGAAGCACUGUGCGCUCAAACAUUCCCCCCCGAGUGUAUGGAGGUGAUGAACCUCGUCAUCCAGAUAGUGAACAAAAUAAUGGCAAAAGGCUUAAACCACCGACAGUUCUGUGCAUUGCUAGAUGAGGUCGACAGUGCAUAUUCAAAUCUCCUGCUGCAUAAGAAAGUCCGCUGGCUAUCCAGGGGGGAGGUCCUGAAAUGGUUUGCCGCUUGUGUAGAACAUGUGAAAACUUUACUGCAAAGCAAAGGCCUGACCUAUCCAGAACUGGAAGAUCCCGAUUGGCUGGAAAAGUUGCACUUCAUGGUGGACAUGACAAGUUACCUAAACAGGCUGAACAAAAGCCUCCAGGGAAAGGGAAGCACGGCUCGCCCUGCAGAUGCUGGAAUAUGUUUUAGUGUUUGAGCGCAAGUUGACAGUGUUCGCCAGAGAUGUACAGAGAGGUACGCUCUCUCACUCCCCCUCCCUGAGAGAGUUCAAAGAAGGACACAAUCACAUAAAUUCUGAUUAUUUACAACGUGCGAUCAUUGGAAUGCAAACUGGAUUUGGGGAAAGAUUCAGCAAGUUCCGAAAUGAAAAAACUACGCUAUCCUUCCUGGUCACACCCCUGGACAUUGACCCAUCCGUGUUGAACAUGUCCGCAUUCCCAGGAGUAAGUCAACCCAACCUUGAAACUGAACUGGCCGACAUAGCUGACAAAGACUUAUGGGUGUCCAAGUUCAAAAGCCUGACAGCCGUGCUCGAAGAUGUCGCCCGUCAGAAGGCCAUUCUCGCUCAAAUCCACAAAUGGGGCGAUAUUGAAAACCUCCCAAAACCCGACAAACUUUUUGAAACAUGGAAUGCUAUUCCCGACAUUAUAUGAACAUGAAGUAUGCAUUUGGAGUCCUGUCCAUGGAUCAAUGUAUUUGUGUGAGCAGGUUUUCUCAAGCAUGAACUACAUAAAAUCCAAAUAUCGCUCCCGCCUCACAGAUGAGCCUGCAGUCUUGUGUGAAGAUCAAAGUUACAUCUUACAGCCCUGAUAUCGAGAAGAUCUGCAGUGACGUUCAGAAACGAAAUCGCAUUAAACAGGCCGAGGGUUGAUUGCUGUACGUGGCUGAGGGAAAAAAGAAGAGGAUUACCUCGCACUGAACUGGAUUUCAGUCAAAAUUAAACUGAAACUGGCCUAUUUUUUACUUUUACUAUUUUUAAAGCUAUUAGGCUAUAUGUUUUAUUUAUUAUCAAAGUAGGCUACUUUUUAUUUUAUUCAUUUGCACAAACACGGGGAGGACUCAAAGUAGGUCUGCAUAGCUCUUUAUAGCUACUCUAUUUCAGAGUAGGCCUACACAUGCCAGUGGAUUUUUUCUCCACUUCACAAUUGUUCAGUUUUGUGUUUUGUUGGUAAUAGAAAAAUGAAAAGAACAAAAAAUGUAAACAGUUUUCUUUAUUGUAUUUCUAUAAUUUCAUAAAUGCAACAAAACAUGGUAUUGUUGUAAUGGAAAUGCAAAGUACCAAAUAAUCAUAAAUAGCCCACUGCAGAGUA